rnacentral:rRNA from 1 species
GAUCCUGGCUCAGGAUGAACGCUGGCGGCGUGCCUAACACAUGCAAGUCGAACGGGGAUUAUUUCAUUGAAGCUUCGGCAGAUUUGAUUUAAUCCUAGUGGCGGACGGGUGAGUAACGCGUGGGUAACCUGCCUUAUACAGGGGGAUAACAGUCAGAAAUGGCUGCUAAUACCGCAUAAGCGCACAGGGCCGCAUGGCCUGGUGUGAAAAACUGAGGUGGUAUAAGAUGGACCCGCGUUGG